AGACGGUAAAAAAACAGAAGAACACACGGCGGCAGCAUAAAAAUAAACAUACAUUCGUAGGUUCAAACAUACAUGGAGGAGUUGAGUAGCAAACGGAGGCACCUAAGUUAACUGGAAAAACGUUACCCAGUAUGCAUUUGGGAGUGGGAUCAAGUCUCUCACUUUGAGCAACAAAGAUUCAGAUUCAAAUGCAGCCGAACAACAUGAACUGCAUGUCGUAAUACUGUUGAUGUAAUAAAAAGAGCGCAGCAGCAGCAACAACACAGUAAUGACCAGGAAGAGUGAAGGCUAAAGAAAAGCUUAGCAAAACAGAAAUGUGACAAAGAACAAUAAAUUAAAAGGAGACUGACCAAGUUAGUAGAGACUUCUAUUUCUAACUGGAAUUCUCGUGCCCAGAUAUACCUGUUAUUCGCUGUAGUAAUACUUAUUUUAUUUUAUGAGACCCAUUAAAAAGGGAUAAUAAUGUGGCUAUAGAGUAACGACUAAAUAUGUAUGUAAUUAUGGUGCCUCGUUGUUUAUGGGCUAAGAAGUGUAUUGCUUGUAAGAUCAUAUUAGAUCGGUCAACCAACAGAUGUGCUUCGAUAACACUGAAGGUAUUAAAUUAAUUAUUUGCAUAUUAUAUUCAUAAAUAUUGUGUAAAUAGAAUAAAAUUAUUAUUAACACCAAAA